CCGUCUCCGAACCACGCAUGCGCGGUUAGAUGUGGUCCGACUGGCCCUGACGUCAUGAUCACGUUGGGCACCGAUAAUCUCACGAGAGCGAGGCGCUUGCAGUUGCUUCUCCACGGACUGCCUGGCCCAGUGCAUGAUGGGAGAUCCCAACGAGGCAGCUGGAGACCCUCCCACGCAGGCACGUGCACAGGUAGAGCCCUAGUGGUGCUCAAGCACCAGCCCCUUUGCCCUGGAUGAGUAAAGUGCCCUUUUUGCUGGAGAAACAUU